rnacentral:rRNA from 1 species
CGGAGGGUGCAAGCGUUAAUCGGAAUACUGGGCGUAAAGCGCACGCAGGCGGUUUGUUAAGUCAGAUGUGAAAUCCCCCGGGCUCAACCUGGGAACUGCAUCUGAUACUGGCAAGCUUGAGUCUCGUAGAGGGGGGUAGAAUUCCAGGUGUAGCGGUGAAAUGCGUAGAGAUCUGGAGGAAUACCGGUGGCGAAGGCGGCCCCCUGGACGAAGACUGACGCUCAGGUGCGAAAGCGUGGGGAGCAA